ensembl:lncRNA
CCUUUAUGUAUAAAGACAGUGUGAAAGAGUGUAAGAGAGAGAGAGAGAACUAAAGAGAAAAAUAAAAUCUUUUUACACUGAGUAUAUGUUGUCCAGUGGCGAGAUGUCCACAUAGCACUCCUGUCCCCCUCUGUUAAAUGCUCACAGCUCAGAGACAAUGAGACAAACAAGGCUUAAAACCAAACAGAGCAACUCCAUCAGACGUGACCAGUACCUCGUACGGACCCAGCUUUAUUCCCCCCUUAUCCUUAUCCCUUCCUCACCCCUCCUUCCCCCACUCAGUGUGGUCAGUGUGUGUUAACAGUUAAAUAACAACACAAACAGUUCACUAUCCAGUUCAGUCCACAAUUUCUUGUUUUAUUUCUCUUUAGUAAGAGAGAUCACCAACAUCAGGCUGACUGUGGCUUUAGUAACAGGGAUCACCAACUCCAGGCUGACUGUCUGCUGUGGCUUUAGUAACAGGGAUCACCAACUCCAGGCUGACUGUCUGCUGUGGCUUUAGUAAAAGAGAUCACCAACUCCAGGCUGACUGUCUGCUGUGGCUUUAGUAACAGGGAUCAUCAACUCCAGGCUGACUGUGGCUUUAGUAACAGGGAUCAUCAACUCCAGGCUAACUAUCUGUUGUGGCUUUAGUAACAGGGAUCACCAACUCCAGGCUGACUGUCUGCUGUGGCUUUAGUAAGAGAGAUCACCAACAUCAGGCUGGCUGUGGCUUUAGUAACAGGGAUCAUCAACUCCAGGCUGACUGUCUGCUGUGGCUUUAGUAACAGGGAUCACCAACUCCAGGCUGACUGUCUGCUGUGGCUUUAGUAACAGGGAUCAUCAACUCCAGGCUGGCUGUGGCUUUAGUAACAGGGAUCAUCAACUCCAGGCUAACUAUCUGUUGUGGCUUUAGUAACAGGGAUCACCAACUCCAGGCUGACUGUCUGCUGUGGCUUUAGUAACAGGGAUCACCAACUCCAGGCUGACUGUCUGCUGUGGCUUUAGUAACAGGGAUCAUCAACUCCAGGCUGACUGUCUGCUGUGGCUUUAGUAACAGGGAUCAUCAACUCCAGGCUGACUGUCUGCUGUGGCUUUAGUAACAGGGAUCACCAACUCCAGGCUGACUGUCUGCUGUGGCUUUAGUAACAGGGAUCAUCAACUCCAGGCUGACUGUCUGCUGUGGCUUUAGUAACAGGGAUCAUCAACUCCAGGCUGACUGUCUGCUGUGGCUUUAGUAACAGGGAUCAUCAACUCCAGGCUGGCUGUGGCUUUAGUAACAGGGAUCAUCAACUCCAGGCUGACUGUCUGCUGUGGCUUUAGUAACAGGGAUCAUCAACUCCAGGCUGACUGUCUGCUGUGGCUUUAGUAACAGGGAUCAUCAACUCCAGGCUGACUGUCUGCUGUGGCUUUAGUAACAGGGAUCAUCAACUCCAGGCUGACUGUCUGCUGUGGCUUUAGUAACAGGGAUCAUCAACUCCAGGCUGACUGUCUGCUGUGGCUUUAGUAACAGGGAUCAUCAACUCCAGGCUGACUGUCUGCUGUGGCUUUAGUAACAGGGAUCAUCAACUCCAGGCUGACUCUCUGCUGUGGCUUUAGUAACAGGGAUCAUCAACUCCAGGCUGACUGUCUGCUGUGGCUUUAGUAACAGGGAUCAUCAACUCCAGGCUGACUGUCUGCUGUGGCUUUGCAGUGUUGUUUACCCUGAUGCUUUAGACACGUGCAGAAACACACACACACACACACGAGCAUAGAAACACAUAGUAACGGACACACUCAAACACAUGCAGUUGCAGAAACAACCUGUAAACACACACUUGCAGAAAAACACAAUUAUACUGUCAUAGUGCUUGCGCUUGUGGAAACUUAGCAACUGUCAACAUACAUUCUCAGGGAUUUCUCAACAAAAAAAGCAAAGGAAAAUAAAAAAGAGAGAAUGAGAGCAUUUUAUUGUACUGUAUAUAUAAUAGUAUAUGUCUGAAUAUUGAAAACAAAUGUAUACGUUAACUAAUUUAUUAAAUCAUAUUCUAUGUAAUGCAAAAUACUUGAAGCUGCAGUACCAUGGUUUUUAUAACCAAAACAUAUCAGAAGGACUUUUAAAACGUGUCGCGUUGCGUCAUCAGGGGCCAGGACAAAGGUCAAAGGUUAGGGGUCAUCUCAGUAGGACUGUUAGCUGGUCGACCCCAGAGAGACAGACUGACAUCCACUGGACUGCUUGACAGGAACCGGCUGUUUGCAAAAAAAGGACAUGGAUGUUGUAUUUAGUAUGGACCAGCAAAAUAUAUUAAUCCUCCAGUUGAACACAGUUGUAUUGGGCACCGUGGUAUAAGAGGAGAGAAAGAGAGAGAAACUGCCCAGGAGCCCGAUCAGUAAUGCCUUAGCAUUACAAAUGGAGAACUCCGGCCCAGUGCCUACGAAGCCGUGAAAAAAUCCCUGACUCUUUACUAAUAAUUAGCAUAGUAAUACGCUGUGGUGAAAUUUGGUUUGUUCACGCAUCAUGUCUCCUUCCACAGUGUUCAAGUCACAAAAAAUAAUCUACAUUAUAUGCAGAACAACCAAUUAAAACAUGUACUUGCCUCUACAAUGAACCCACAACACGCCUCUACAACGAACCCACAACACGCCUCUUCUGUCGACUCCUUGACUUUGUGCAGGACAGAAAGUUGCUAUGUUUGGUCUUGACUGUUCAAUUUUGUUUUGUUACGCUUUUUUACAUGUUUCUCCUUUUUUAACUUUUUAGUUAUCUCUCUAGAAUUAUUCAAUGAGAACAGCCUUCUUUCUUGCCUUGUCUUAACGCUUUAAAACAACCAAACGGGAGUUCUGACUACCAAACUUUGUUCAUUGAAAUGAAAAAGCCAACCAACUUUGGUUACAACUUUUAGUGUCUUUCAUUUUUAGCUGAAUGGUUCUGUGUUCUGUGCUUUAAAAAGCCCUUCUCUGUUUGUUUUUGGGAUCAGAAACAUUGUCUAGUGUCUCUUGUCCCCUCCUCCCCUAGAGGUUUGUCCAUAGGUCCUUUGUCCAAAGACAUAUCAUUCACGUUCCAUUGUAUUUAUUAUGAUAGGUAAACGAUUGUACUUCUUCAACCGUGUCAACACUGCUCAUGUGUUAGAAUUCAGAUUUGAUACACCAAUAUCAAUUUAUUUAUGUAACUAAAUCACUGUUUUUUAAACUUGUUAAUGAUUGAACUUUUUUGUUUUAAUUAAAAUUUGUUUUUUGAGAGG